ensembl:lncRNA
UAUUUUUUAUUUUAAUCUUUAUUUUUUAUUUUUAUUUUUAUGUUAAUUUUUAUUUUUUUACAAAUGUAGUAAAUGUGAAAUGUUACAUUUACACACUCGAUUUUAACAAUGACUCAUUUUUAUGUAGAAGUCACAAAUAACAUGGAUGACGAUAUUUUUACAAACAGCGACCUGGCUGUUAUGAAUGAACUUAAAAAUAAAAAAAACAGUGAUGAAAGAAAAGGAAAUUAGGUAAAACCACUUUUACUACAUCCAUGCAUAACCCUUUCUAUGAUGCGAACUCAAAAACAACACAUACACCGUUACAUACACAAAUUUAUUUAUUUAUUUAUUUAUUUAUUUAUUUAUUUAUUUAUUUAUUUUUUUUUUUUUAACCGUCUUACGAUUUGGCUAUUUUACAGAUACGACUGGGUACAAACAGAUAGUACAUUAUCUUUUACACUAUACAAGAAAAACACUGAACGGGAUAAAUUUUUAUAUUAUAUAAAAAAAAAUUACAUAUAUAUAAUUAUAAAUAUCAGUGACACAGAAAUAUACAAACUAGAAACAUAUUUGUUUGGUGAAGUAUAUCCAUCUAAUACUAAAAUUAAUAUAAGUCCAAACAACACUGGACCUCCUUCAAAAGUAACGAACAAGGCUUAAUUUCAGAAAAUCAAAAAGGCAUUCCGAGUCCGUUUAGUAGAAGAAGUAUAAAAGAAUGGGAUAGCAUCACACAGGUAAAAUAACAAAAAAAAAAAAAACAUUUUACCACUUUAACAUUUUAAC